AAGUCGUAACAAGGUUUCCGUAGGUGAACCUGCGGAAGGAUCAUUAACACGUGAUACUCACGUAUUAAACCAAUUGUGAACUGUUGUCGGUCCCGUUGUCGAUGUUGGAGUGGCAGGGAGAAUAAGUAGGUGUGGCCUGCGUUCGCGUAGUCCUAACUUCCUGUCUAAGCGUCCGACGCUAAGCACAUAUCGACCAUGGUAGAUGAAGGAGUGGAGCUUAUUAAUGUUUGCACCCUAACUUGCUUCGCGACUGGUCCCGCUCACCCUUUUUAAUAUUAUAACUAAUCUGUAUGUCUCUUUGAAUUCCUGACUUCGGUUGGUCGAGUUUGAUUAGAUGUCGUAUAUUACAAAUACGAAACAACUCUUAGCAACGGAUAUCUUGGUUCUC
rnacentral:misc_RNA from 1 species